UAAGGAAUAAACAAGGAAAUAGCCGAGGUCAUUCUAUAAGGUAAUAUAUUAUAUAGUUUUUCAGAUUUUUGAAAUACAGCUCACAAACAAAGAUGUUCUCAAGAUAAAUGAAGAAGAAUACAAACAAAGCUGAAUACUAUUCAUUUUAAUUGGCAUAGUUGUUCUUUUUGAACUAAAUUGCAUAUCAACAGUUUUAGAUCAUAUAAUUUGAAAGAAAUUACAGUUAAACCACAUAUCAGCACACAUAGUAAAUAGAAACCUAGGGUAGAAAUCAAAUUUAAUAUGCAAAGCUAGUUUGUCUACCAUGAGUAUGACCCAUACUUGUGGAAACUAAAAUUCCUCCUAAAUUGCUUCCUGUAUUUUGGGACGCAAAGCUAAAAGUUUGUCUAAAAUACUUUUAUUAAGGACAACAAGUAUUUUGAUACCAGUUGUUAUGAGACAAUCAAGAAUUCGAGAAAUAAUAACAAACAAAAAAAAGAACAAGAAACAAUAUAGUUUUAACAUGGAAUCCUUAAGGGAAGAAAACUACAAGGCAGUGUGUUCUUUUGAUUGGUUGUCGGUCUUCUAUGUUGCUUUGGUUGCUGAUCAACCCAGUGUGCUGUGAUCGUGUUAAUUGGUAAGCUCUCUUCGGAGAACAACAAGAUUGUUUUUUGAUUGUUAAUGUCACGACCCAAUUUGGCUAAGUUGUGCGGGCACUUAUCUUUUUGACCUCGAUAAGCGAACCCUCAACCAACGAUAAUAAAGACAUAAUUAAAUAAGUCAAAUAAGAAAUAGAGAAUAAAUCACGUAAUUCUGAUGAUAAUAAAAUAGAAAAAGUGCGGAAAUAAGAAAAUACACCCAGGGUUUCGUCUAAUCCAUACAAGAGCAUCUAACUAUAAUCUACAAGUCUAGAAUAUCAACAAUACAUCAACACUGAAUAUGUCUCGGAAUAGAAAAUAAGACAUAAAUAAAAUAGAAUCUUCAAGGCGGCGGACUUCUGGUGCUCACCCUAUAGACUCUAAGAAAAUUUCGGGGCGACUAUCAGCCACAAGAAACAGAAGUAGAUCCAACCUGAAAUUUUGCAUUCAUAAAAGAAUGCAGCGCGUGCAGGUGAGUACAAAACUACAGUACUGGUAGGUAUCAUCGGCCGGCUAAGUUUAGCUAACAUAAUCCAGACAAUAAAGCAAGAUAAACAGAUAAAUCAAUAAGUAUAAGUUAAACACAAGUCAGAACCAAGUACACGUCAUCACCUAGGUUGAAGCAUUUAAACCCAACUGUGCCAAGUCUCAAUAUCUCCAAUCCGAAACCAAAUAACACAAGAAAAUCACCAGAUCAUCACAAAUAAAGCCAUAAUGCAAUGCAACAAUGUAUGAAUGCAUAUGCAAUGCAAUGCAAUGUUAUGUACACAUGUACUUCGGACGGAAGUAUCGACUUUUCGGUAGCACAACCCAUGGGGGACCCGCGAAGUCCAUGUACCUCACUCAAUCCAUGAUUUCGGGACAACUAUCGGAUAUCGCACUCUCACAUCACUCUACUCAAUCCAUGAUUCCGGGACAACCAUCGGAUAUCAGAGUUCUCACAUCACUCCACUCAAUCCAUGAUUCCAAGAUAACUAUCGGAUAUCGGACUUCUCACAUCACUCUCAUGCAAGCUGAGCCCAGCUCAUGAUAGUGUUUCCUCAAGUAUCAUCAAUGUAUCAACAAUAUAUCAUGAAGGAGGAGAAAGCGUGCAAUGUAUGAGCUAACAUCAAUAAUAAGAUCAAUAUCACAAGUACCAAGCAUGGGUAAGCUAACAAUAUCAUGAAAGACUAAACAAGUCAUAUAAAAUACUAUCCUCGUAUCAAACAUCAACAAGUGAGGUACCACAAUAUCAUGAACAAGAUAGAUCAAUAGUCUCCAAUAUCUACUAUCACUACGCGACAUCAAGCCCACAACAAUAGAACAAAUCAGGUCACACCACAACGGGGUGGCUAGCCCCAAUCACACAACAGGGCCUAACCUAAGACAAUAUCCAACCCAACUUCAUACCUGAAGGUUUACAUGGUUUCUCCAACAAUAUCAUCUAAAUAUAUGCUUCACUAAAUGAAGUCUCACCAAGGGUAAUCCAUAACCUACCUGGAUGGCCGAACAACAAUACCCUAACAAUCACUUCUUAGCCUUUUCCUUCCGCUGAACCUCAAGAUCAAGUAAGUCUAGGCAUAUUUGAAUCUAGAUUAGAAAUCUUGAAGAUCGAUACCUAUAUCGCUAUCAUUCAAAUUGGGUCAAAAUCAACCCUAGAAUUUGGGAAAACGGGGCCCACAAGGGCAAACGGGAAAUUCGGGGGUAAAUUAUCCAAUUAAACACUAGGUGAUCAAAACCCAUUAACUAAUUUCUAAACUAACUCAAGGAUUCAUCCAAUUUCGAAAUCCAAGCAAAACCCCCAAUUUUGGAUAUAAACCCUAACUCUUAAAUUCAAGAAUUCAACACUAAUAAUGAAAGGUAUAUGAUUAACAACCUUAGAUACAUCAUAAUCUAGCAUAACCGAAUCAAUUUCAUCAUUUAAAAGCCUAGAUAGAAAAUCCAUCAAACCUACUUUUAAUUUUCCAUUACUAAUGAACUAACAGGGAAAAGGGAUU